CGGGCGGACGGGUGAGUAACGCGUGGGUAACCUGCCUCAUACAGGGGGAUAACAGUUGGAAACGACUGCUAAUACCGCAUAAGCGCACAGUACCGCAUGGUACAGUGUGAAAAACUCUGGUGGUAUGAGAUGGACCCGCGUCUGAUUAGCUAGUUGGUGGGGUAACGGCCUACCAAGGCGACGAUCAGUAGCCGACCUGAGAGGGUGACCGGCCACAUUGGGACUGAGACACGGCCCAA
rnacentral:rRNA from 1 species